rnacentral:pre_miRNA from 1 species
CGGGGGAGGCGGGAUCCUGGGCUGUAUCCCGGCGCCCUGUGCUCCGGAGCCUGCGCUGGUGGAUUACGCGCUCCCGGGCCGCGCAGCCCCCU